rnacentral:tRNA from 1 species
AAUCCUUUUUUUUUUA